rnacentral:rRNA from 1 species
AGAGUUUGAUCAUGGCUCAGAUUGAACGCUGGCGGCAGGCCUAACACAUGCAAGUCGAGCGGUAGCACAGAGAGCUUGCUCUCGGGUGACGAGCGGCGGACGGGUGAGUAAUGUCUGGGAAACUGCCUGAUGGAGGGGGAUAACUACUGGAAACGGUAGCUAAUACCGCAUAACGUCGCAAGACCAAAGUGGGGGACCUUCGGGCCUCAUGCCAUCAGAUGUGCCCAGAUGGGAUUAGCUAGUAGGUGGGGUAACGGCUCACCUAGGCGACGAUCCUAGCUGGUCUGAGAGGAUGACCAGCCACACUGGAACUGAGACACGGUCCAGACUCCUACGGGAGGCAGCAGUGGGGAAUAUUGCACAAUGGGCGCAAGCCUGAUGCAGCCAUGCCGCGUGUGUGAAGAAGGCCUUCGGGUUGUAAAGCACUUUCAGCGGGGAGGAAGGCGUUAAGGUUAAUAACCUUGGCGAUUGACGUUACCCGCAGAAGAAGCACCGGCUAACUCCGUGCCAGCAGCCGCGGUAAUACGGAGGGUGCAAGCGUUAAUCGGAAUUACUGGGCGUAAAGCGCACGCAGGCGGUCUGUCAAGUCGGAUGUGAAAUCCCCGGGCUCAACCUGGGAACUGCAUUCGAAACUGGCAGGCUAGAGUCUUGUAGAGGGGGGUAGAAUUCCAGGUGUAGCGGUGAAAUGCGUAGAGAUCUGGAGGAAUACCGGUGGCGAAGGCGGCCCCCUGGACAAAGACUGACGCUCAGGUGCGAAAGCGUGGGGAGCAAACAGGAUUAGAUACCCUGGUAGUCCACGCCGUAAACGAUGUCGAUUUGGAGGUUGUGCCCUUGAGGCGUGGCUUCCGGAGCUAACGCGUUAAAUCGACCGCCUGGGGAGUACGGCCGCAAGGUUAAAACUCAAAUGAAUUGACGGGGGCCCGCACAAGCGGUGGAGCAUGUGGUUUAAUUCGAUGCAACGCGAAGAACCUUACCUGGUCUUGACAUCCACAGAACUUUCCAGAGAUGGAUUGGUGCCUUCGGGAACUGUGAGACAGGUGCUGCAUGGCUGUCGUCAGCUCGUGUUGUGAAAUGUUGGGUUAAGUCCCGCAACGAGCGCAACCCUUAUCCUUUGUUGCCAGCGGUCCGGCCGGGAACUCAAAGGAGACUGCCAGUGAUAAACUGGAGGAAGGUGGGGAUGACGUCAAGUCAUCAUGGCCCUUACGACCAGGGCUACACACGUGCUACAAUGGCAUAUACAAAGAGAAGCGACCUCGUGAGAGCAAGCGGACCUCAUAAAGUAUGUCGUAGUCCGGAUUGGAGUCUGCAACUCGACUCCAUGAAGUCGGAAUCGCUAGUAAUCGUAGAUCAGAAUGCUACGGUGAAUACGUUCCCGGGCCUUGUACACACCGCCCGUCACACCAUGGGAGUGGGUUGCAAAAGAAGUAGGUAGCUUAACCUUCGGGAGGGCGCUUACCACUUUGUGAUUCAUGACUGGGGUGAAGUCGUAACAAGGUAACCGUAGGGGAACCUGCGGUUGGAUCACCU